rnacentral:rRNA from 1 species
CAAGAGCGUAUGUAAAAGUUGUUGCAGUUAAAAAGCUCGUAGUUGAACCUUGGGUUUGGUUGGCCGGUCCGCUUUUUUGCGAGUACUGGAUUCAACCGAGCCUUUCCUUCUGGCUAACCAGUCGUUUCGGCGGCUGGCGAACCAGGAUUUUUACUUUGAGAAAAUUAGAGUGUUCAAAGCAGGCAUUAGCUUGAAUAUAUUAGCAUGGAAUAAUAGAAUAGGACGUUAUGGUUCUAUUUUGUUGGUUUCUAGGACCAUCGUAAUGAUUAAUAGGGACGGUCGGGGGCAUCAGUAUUCAGUUGUCAGGGGUGAAAUUCUUGGAUUUACUGAAGACUAACUACUGCGAAAGCAUUUGCCAAGGACGUUUUCAUUAA